rnacentral:rRNA from 1 species
AACGAACGCUGGCGGCAGGCUUAACACAUGCAAGUCGAGCGCCCCGCAAGGGGAGCGGCAGACGGGUGAGUAACGCGUGGGAAUCUACCCAUCUCUACGGAAUAACGCAUGGAAACGUGUGCUAAUACCGUAUACGUCCUUCGGGAGAAAGAUUUAUCGGAGAUGGAUGAGCCCGCGUUGGAUUAGCUAGUUGGUGGGGUAAGGGCCUAUCAAGGCGACGAUCCAUAGCUGGUCUGAGAGGAUGAUCAGCCACACUGGGACUGAGACACGGCCCAGACUCCUACGGGAGGCAGCAGUGGGGAAUAUUGGACAAUGGGCGCAAGCCUGAUCCAGCCAUGCCGCGUGAGUGAUGAAGGCCCUAGGGUUGUAAAGCUCUUUCGCCGGUGAAGAUAAUGACGGUAACCGGAGAAGAAGCCCCGGCUAACUUCGUGCCAGCCGCCGCCGUAAAAC